rnacentral:rRNA from 1 species
AGAGUUUGAUCCUGGCUCAGAACGAACGCUGGCGGCAGGCCUAACACAUGCAAGUCGAGCGCACUCGCAAGGGUGAGCGGCGGACGGGUGAGUAACGCGUGGGAACGUGCCCUUUGGUACGGAAUAGCCUCGGGAAACUGGGAGUAAUACCGUAUGUGGUCGAGAGACGAAAGAUUUAUCGCCAAAGGAUCGGCCCGCGUUGGAUUAGGUAGUUGGUGGGGUAAUGGCCUACCAAGCCGACGAUCCAUAGCUGGUUUGAGAGGAUGAUCAGCCACACUGGGACUGAGACACGGCCCAGACUCCUACGGGAGGCAGCAGUGGGGAAUNUUAGACAAUGGGGGCAACCCUGAUNUAGCCAUGCCGCGUGAGUGAUGAAGGCNUUNGGGUUGUAAAGCUCUUUCAGGGGGGAAGAUAAUGACGGCACCCCCAGAAGAAGCCCCGGCUAACUCCGUGCCAGCAGCCGCGGUAAUNC